UCAACCAAACGGACCUCAAUAGAAAAACACAACAAAGCCAUAGCUGGCAAAUGCCAAAUUAGGCAUCGUUCAAGCUUUUUCCAUGCCUUCAGCCUUUGCUUCACCAUUUUGGGCGAAGAAGUUAUUGUUCUUGUCUUCUUCCAUUAGAAAAAGCUUUCAACGGUAACUUUCAAAUUGGGUUUUCAAUUCCUUUUGGUUUUUCCUUUUUCUUUCCCGUACGAUUCAGCCAUCUUUAUAGCUAUUCAAGUUGAAAACGAAAUUAAAAAGUGGAGCAAGUCCCACAUCAUUGGUUGACACAAGUUUGAACAUUUUUGGGCUCUAUAAAUAGAAUCCAUUCCCUUCAUAUUCAAAGAGAGAGUUCAGUGGUCAAAAAAUUGGUCUUUACACCUCAAAUGGGUUUUUCACAAACCCCAAGAUUGAGAACACUCAGCAACCCGACUAUGCCAUUGCGUUUCGAGGAAGUUCUCGCUCAAGUUUAAUUUUUGGAAUUCAUUGCCGUUCGUCCAAAAUCGAUUCAGGUGAAAGGUAGUUCGUCGUCAACUCUCGUCGCCCCCGUUGCUACUCUAAAAAAUUCCCUAAACCUCCUUGAGUUGCUACUUUGGCUGUUACUUGAUGGGUUGCUGCAUUUGAGACCUGCUGCUGUGUUCUUGAGCUAAAACGGCUGCAUUUUGGGUCUUCUGUUUCUACUUGUGCUCUACAAAAAAUGAACCGAUACUACAUUGAUGCCACUUUGAAUGAGACUAGUUGUUGGCUGCUUGUUUGCCACACCCAUCGCUCAUAAGUUCUUGUUGUUUAGGCUGGCUGAUCCCUUUUACAACUGUCUCUUGAGUUGCAUUUUUAGGGUAAGGAAAACACUGCAUUCUGGGCCAAAGUGUUGUUGCACUUUCAGGCAAACAGAUGCUACACUUGGAGGAAGUCAACUACUGUAUUUAAGGGCCGAUAAAUUUUUCGUUUGUGAACAACAUUUUCACUGCCUUUUGAGGGAAAACUACUGCUAUACCUUGGUGUUUACUCUUGAACGUGUUGCGGUUGGAGGCAAGCAACCACUAUUUAGGGUUAAAUGGUUGCUGUAUUUUCAGGCAUAAGGAUACUGCAAUAGAGAACUCUCUUUGUUGUUGCCUCAUCGUGUUACUUUGGCUGCAAAAUCCAAGGGAAACUAAUGGUGGCUAUCCUUGUUAUUUGAGCCUCUGUGAUCAACAUAUUGUCCAUCUUGUGAGGAGCUGUGUUGUUACAUUCCUUUUUUUUUAAAAAAAAACUUGUUGCCCUGAAAAGAGCAGCUGCACUUGAGGCCUGAAUCUGCUAAAGAUGAUUGCAAUCUUCAGCUACUGUUACGACUGGUUACUGUAGGAAACUGCUGCUAUGUCCUCUCUAAAGCAGAAGUUGCACUACACUUGAGCUGAUGUGUUAAAUUUUGCCUUGAGUUUCUAUUGUCUGCUGAAAUAUUCCACUUUCAUGGGAAUUAACAUGCUUUGGAAACGAACAGAUUCUUCAUCAAACGAAAACAACUGCUGUUGCUUUUCUUUUAAAGAACAGAAUGCUACGCUUGAUGAAAUUUUACUGAUUUGAACUUUAUACUACAUUUGGGCCAAUGAAAAAAAUUACUUUUUGAGGCCAUGCCUAGUCCGGAAAGGUUAUCCCUCGGUUUAGGCAAUGAUUAUCUCACAGUGAUAUCACGUGGUAGGAACCGAUUUGCACUUGGCAAGGCAACUAGAAUGUCCCCUAGUUCGCAACCGCGGCAUGAUUUUGGUUCCUUUGCCAUAUUCGGAACCGUGAGUCUGAGCCUCUGUGAUCAAAGAUCUCAAAGUUUGACACGAGUUCGAGGGAUUUUAUUAUUUACAUUCAUAAACGUCACCCUAUGGGGUGGCGUAUCAUUUGACUAACUAUUUUCAUUUCAUUCCUGCGAGGUACAUCUAAUUAAUAUGGGUCCGCGAGAUGAGAUUCUACCAAAAACAAAGUGAAGUAAAGUUGAAAGCUCGACUCAGAUGAAGGAUUAGAAGAGCAAGAACAAGACUGUUGAAUGAUUUGGGCCCAAGGCCGUAAAAAGCUAAACUCUUCUUCUCCUUCUUGUAGUAUAAGUUUUACAUUAUUUUCUGUAUGAUAUGCAAAUACAUUUGUAUAGAUAUUGAAACCCCUACAGGUUAGAACCCAGGAUUUGGGUAGACGAUGUUUCAAAACUGCAUCCAAAUGAUAAAAGAGUUGUAUUCCACUUGAUUGAAAAAAUAAAAGUGAAAGUAUAUUUUUCUUGGAAAA